AACGAACGCUGGCGGCAGGCCUAACACAUGCAAGUCGAGCGAGGACUUCGGUUCUAGCGGCGGACGGGUGAGUAACGCGUGGGAAUGUGCCCUUCUCUACGGAAUAGCCCUGGGAAACUGGGAGUAAUACCGUAUACGCCCUUUUGGGGAAAGAUUUAUCGGAGAAGGAUCAGCCCGCGUUGGAUUAGGUAGUUGGUGGGGUAAUGGCCUACCAAGCCGACGAUCCAUAGCUGGUUUGAGAGGAUGAUCAGCCACACUGGGACUGAGACACGGCCCAGACUCCUACGGGAGGCAGCAGUGGGGAAUCUUAGACAAUGGGGGCAACCCUGAUCUAGCCAUGCCGCGUGAGUGAUGAAGGCCUUAGGGUUGUAAAGCUCCUUCAGCUGGGAAGAUAAUGACGGUACCAGCAGAAGAAGCCCCGGCUAACUCCGUGC
rnacentral:rRNA from 1 species